rnacentral:lncRNA from 1 species
CUCAACAUAAUCAAGUACACUGCAGCCUCGUCAUAACAUUUUCACAAUAACUGAAAUUUUAUAGUAUGUGGGUCUGUUUUGGACAAAUCAAAGGGCUUUAGUCAGCAGUACUGAACAGACUUCAACACAGCACAGUGUCACCUGUGAUGUGUCCCUCAGAAUGGACCUAACUAACUGCAGAUUUAAAUUGAGGCUACAGUGUACUCACUGUAUUUGUGUUAUAGUUUAUAUUGUAUUAUGUUGGGAGUGGGGGAAUUACUGGACAAUAGCAGGAACAUGAUCAUCUACAUAUACUUGGUCUUCAUUCCAGUUUGACUUUACAUAUUAGCUUAUAUGCAGAUAUUCUGCAAACUCAUC